GUAAACUGCACUGUUUUUCCUUAUUUUCUGUUUUUUUUUAUUUUCAGUUCCAAGUUCUAAUUCAGUGACAUAGUCCUGAAAGAUUUGCCACAUAAAGUAUAAUAUGCUUCAUCCCUGCAAAAUGAAACUACAACAUCUGAAAGAAGGAAUGCUUGGCCAUUAAGGCCAUGCUUGAAACUUGGCACCAAUACUUGGAGAAGCCAGGCAUCCGGUCAUGGCCUGCACCAACCAUCACAACUGGGAGGUCCUCUGGAUGAUCCAUAACAUCUACCAGACCCACAGAUGCCAAUCGCUUUCCCAUCUACCAAUUUCAGGACCCAAUAGAUCCUGAAAACUCAAAACUGGUGAGCUGAUGUACUAUAUCCUAAGUUAAAAAUUCUUAUCCAGUUCAAUUAAGUUGAACUCACCAGGCUGUGACACCCAAAAACCUUUGCUGUAAUCCACUUGUAGAAGAGCAACAACAGGAUUGCCCCUUUCAACCAAAGGUCAUGGGUCUUGCCCAAACCAGCCCAUUAGCCUUGGAGGGAUGCUUCUGUGGAGUGGAUGUCUUACCUAUGUGUCCUGGUCAGGAGCACUCACACUGAGGUCCAGGUCCAUACCAUGGCAGCUGUGUCCUCCAGCUUCUACCUGUUUAAGAUCCACCGCAGUCUCAACUGUGGGUCUUGGGACUUCUGACGGCCGAGUGUUCAGGAAGAUGUGGAGGACCUAGGAGAAUGUGCCUUGGCAGAAUUGAACCAGAAAAAGACAGAGGCCUCUUCCAUCCCUACUGAAACAUUGGUGAUUGUGAUGAACCCUAUCUGGAGAAUUUUAUCACAGAGCUCUCUCCCUAUUACUAAAACAGCAUUGUCUUCACAUUUGCCCCAACGAUUCACUUUUCUCCAUGCCAAGGGACAUUGCCUUCACCUCCAGUGGGCAUCAAAUACCUGCAUUUCACAUGGAUCCCUGGCUAAGGUAGAGCCUCCAGUUUGAAUCCACAUCUAAUAAAUUUGUCUUUGUAGAUAAAGAUCACUUGGAUCAUGAGAUUACACCCUUGAAAAUAGCAGUGCCUGUGUAUACUACCCACCUCCAAAAUAACGGAGUAAUCCCUAUACUCAGUUCCAUAUUCAUCUAUAAUACCUCUUCCAUGCAAAUCAGUUUCGUACAAGUAAAAUGUGGAAGCAUCCCAUAAAACACGCCCACCCCUCAUGAAUUCAACCAGUUUUUAUUGAGGACCUAUCAUGUGCCCAUGUAAAUGGAAGUUUACAUUCCAAUGGGUAUGUCAUAAAAUUAAACAGCAUAAUGAGUGCUAUAGCAUUGUAAUGAUGGCCAUGAGAAUUCCCUCAUCUCUGUUCUUUGACUACCCAAGGAUCGCCUAGUUGCCCAGGCUGACUCACAGAUGAUCUUCUAAUAUGCCAAAGCAACUACUAAGAUUCAAGCCAAUAGGCAGAAGUGCCCAGGGGACCUCCUGCAAGUGGUGAUCCUAUGUAUUCUGGUUACUAAUGUAUUAUUUCUAAACCAUCUGACUUUUAAACAAGUUAGAUGCUCACUUACUAAGCGCCUUCCCAUCAUGUCAUCAAACUGGUAGCCCUCAUUGUAGCCACUCUUGGGUAGAAUCAGGCUGUGAAGUUGGAAAACGUGGCUUUAAGUUUGGGUCCUGGCACUCAUUAUGCCUGUGGGCAAAUCACUUAAACUCUUUGGUCUUUGGUGUCUUUCUCUGCAAAAUAAAAAUAAAAACAUCAUAUACGAUACCUACCUCACAGGGUUGUUGUGAGAAUCAAGUGAAAAUGUAUGUGAAAGCACUUUGUAAACUUUGCUAUUUUUGAUCACCCCAUUUUUCAUGGAUUCUUCCUUCUCCCCACCAAAUACAAUACUAUAAUUUACCAGAAGGAUGUACUAUUACACCAUCCCCCCCAUGCAAGUGAAUGGUACAAAGAAAAUGAAUUACAUGCCCUCCUAGAUAUCUGGUUUCAGUAUGGUAAUUCUGAUGCCUCACAAGGUGACAAGUAUAGAAGCCACAGGACCAAAGCCAGGGCCCUACUGCUAUAUAGACAGACAUUCCACCAUUAACACAUGAUUGGACCCAGAUACCAGUCAGCCCUCUUGAUGGAAGGCUUUCCCCAGAACCCACUAUAGAGAACCUACUCUUGGCCCCAAAGAAAUAACCAGACAACAAAAAUUCAGGGAAUCACCUGGGCUCUAGCUGCCAAAGAAAUCACCAGCUACUCCAGUGGGGAACAUGCCUCCCAAGGUAGAGUAAGAAGACUUGGUUAAAGGAGACACUGAUCCGAUUAAACAAAUACAAACCAUCCUUACUGCCUGACCUAUUGUUGUUGGGCUGGAAAGAAAAACUCCUUGUCAUUCAUUUAAAGCAAAGAUUUGGUGACACAUUUCUUCUUUAAGCACAGUUUUUCCCUCAAGCCAGCCUGGCUCUUGCCUUUCUGAUUUUGUCUUGUCUGCUCCCUGUCUGUCCAAUAGAUUUGUGCUGAGAUGUAUUCCUGGCUUGCAAGUCUUAUAUGUUCCUCUUACACACACACACACACACACACCAAUGAAGAAUCCCACCCACAUUUCCUAUGCUACCCUCAUAGCCAAGCCCAAGCCUGACCUUCUAUUUCUAGCGAUUCAAAAUUGAUUCUGGAUUGGCUGAUCGAAUCUGAGUUCAGUCUCACUGGAACAGUCUAUCCCAGGCUGGAAUGCUGACUCUGUUUCAGUCCUGGGUAGAAGUUUAAAUAGAAUACCUAUGGAGUCAUGGAUACCCAUAACUUCUUUAGGAAAAGAAAAUUUAUUUUUGCCUUCUACUUAGAAUAUACCAGCUUCUCCAAAACUAAGAACAUAUUAGCAUGUGCCUCCAGGAAUAGCAUAAAGUUUUUAUACUAGAUCUCCUGAGUGAAGAGAAUGAUGCCAAUGUACCAAAAGAUCAGACAGUAUUGGCAUCCCAGAAGCUCUGGAGUAAGAUCUUAAGCUUAAAAUAUAAAAUUUCAACUAUAAUCCAUGCUUCAGUUUCCUGGAGCAAAGGAAGAGGAUUACAGGGAAAAUGUUGAUUCGAUGUUUAUAUCAGUUUUCAAAAUAUUUUUAAAUGUGAUGAAAAAUAAUUCACAAUUUCCUCCUUGCUCUAAGUCAGAAUAGCUGAUCUAAUAUACCAACUCAGUGAGCUGAGAAAUCCCCAAAUCUUUUUUUAAGGCUAUAAUAUUCAAUUUUCAUUUUCAAUAUUUAUAACUUUUUAAAAUUAAAACAGUGUCUUCUAGUUUACAAUCACUACUUGUUGUGGGAAGGAAGCCAGAGAGACUCAGAGUCCCAGCCACCCAAGGUCAGAGGCACUGAGCCAAAGGACCCAGCAAAGAGAGGCCCAAGCCAAGAAGAAAAGCUGUUGCUGAAAUGGCAGACCAAGCAUAUGAAAUAAGAUGAUCUCCAGGUCAUGGUAGUUGAGAAAGAAGAAUAGACAGAUCCAAACUGGGAAGCAGAUUAAGAUGUUGGAGUAAGUAUCAGGACGAACACAGCUGGGCAAGAGAAGUCACCUCAGCCACACAUGUCUGUCUUACGACAGCCUUUCCUGUGAGUUGCAAUAUUACAUCCUAGUUUUUCAGACGUAAAAUCCUCAGUAUCACUGAUGUCACCUACAUAGCCAGCCCAAAACAGACUACUUUCCUUACCCACAGACGUACCUUUUAAUGUCUUGGCUGAUACAAUUUUCUUUUUCAGAGAUUUUAAAUUUUUUCAUAAACCUUUGAUAAAUUAUUUUAUCAAUAAAAAAAACUCUCAAUAAAUAACCUCCCUGGUUGAAUUCUAAUUCCUUCUUUGGUGAUUAAAAAACUGGUAAUAAAAAUGAAUUAGUUUAAUUAAUAAUUUGUCUGCCCUUGCAUGGCCAAGGCUAAGAGGGAAAGGACAUUCUAACAUAGAUUAGAUGUAAGUGAGCUAGAAACAGUUAUAGUGAAAUGCCAGGCAAGGGGUAGCCAAAGAGAUGUUUGAUACUGGCACAUGGCUUAACCUUAAUCUGCAAAUUGUACCUCUCUUUCAAAAGUCACAGGCGAUCAACUCUCCCACUGCCACAUCAGGACACAGAGACUGCAGAGUGAAAGACAGACAUGCAGGGUAGAAAAGAAUAAUGCAGGCAGCAUUUUGCAGCAAGAGGUAGCUGGUUGCAGAGACCAGCCACUCCCCACGGCUGGCAGGAGUGCCAGCCUUUUCAGAGAACUCACAUUAGAAGUUACAGCAGUACAUGGAACCGAGCCAGUACACACAACAGUGGGGACAGUGGGGAAGUUUCUGUAAUUAAAGACUGAACUCAGCACACUUUGAAACAGACUAAGAACUCUCUACUACUACUGGCAACAAGGAACUGAUUUUGUUUAAGUGAAUGUUCUUACUGAACCUGGUAAAUCAUGAAUCAAUGUGGAAACAAAGGCAAUCCGUGGAUUACAGCCCUUGGGUUAAGAAUAAAGAAGAGAAUCUGAAUGGUACCAGGAGGAACAGACCCCCAUAACAGGAGAGACUGGAAAUUGCUAACAGAGGAGCAUAGUUGUGUGUCCGUUCCGAAAUGCUGUGUAUACAGUUAUGCUUAACCCGACUGCCUAGUAAAUUGCAAUUGGUUCUUA